AACUCCAUCUCCCAUCGUCCCCCGGUGUCACACCACAACAAACGAGAGAGGGACAGCAGCUGGGAGAGAAAUCCGCAGACUCCGUGGAAAGGACAGAAAAACGGAGUGAGAGAGGGAUUUUCCCCCUUCUUAAAUGGAUGUUUCCACCGCAGCAGAGCAGCUCGACUGACGAGGAAGAGUCCGCAGAAAUGGCCAAAACCCAGGAGGUGGAGCGCAUCGCUAAAAAGCUGGAUAAAAUGGUGCACAAGAAAAACACGGACGGCGCUCUCGAUUUGCUGAGGGAACUGAGGAACAUGAAGAUGUCUCUGGAGACUCUGCAGUCAACCAGAGUUGGGAUGUCAGUGAACGCAGUGAGGAAACAGAGUUCGGAUGAGGAAGUUCAGACUCUGGCCAAAACUCUCAUAAAGUCCUGGAAGAAACUCCUGGAUGGUGCAGAAGGGAAGUCUGAUGGGAAGAAGAAGGAAGGCUCUCCUGUGAGGUCAUCUUCUACCUCCAAGGACUCUGGCGCCACUGAGAAAAGCAGUAUGAAGUCUGUGGAGACCCCAACCACUCCAACUACUCCCACUGUCCCCCAUCGGUUCACCUCUUUCCCCCCCACUCCCGUCACUACGGACAACGUGCGGACCAAGAGUCGAGAGCUGCUGGUGGCUGCUUUGCAGACUGGCGAUGACUUCAAAGCUAUUGGGGUUGACUGUGAACACGUGGCAGCACAAAUUGAGGAACGAAUAUUUCAGGAAUUCAAGUCGACAGAUAUGAAGUAUAAAACCCGUCUGCGAAGCCGUAUUUCCAACCUGAAAGACCAAAAGAACCCGGAGCUGAGACGCAACGUCCUGUGUGGGAACAUCUCACCUGAACGCAUUGCGUCCAUGACUGCUGAGGAAAUGGCGAGUGCAGAGCUGAAGCAGAUCAGAGAGGCUUUGACUAAAGAGUCCAUCAGAGAACAUCAGCUGUCAAAGGUCGGAGGAACCGAGACAGAUAUGUUCAUCUGCAACAAGUGUCACGGCAAGAACUGCACGUACACACAGGUGCAGACCCGCAGCGCCGAUGAACCCAUGACGACCUUUGUUCUGUGUAACGGCUGCGGCAACCGAUGGAAGCAUUUUGGGCGAAGUCAUUAGUGUCCGGUGUGAUCAUCUGCUGCCGUGAGACUCUGCCCAACUGGCCAAAAUAUUACAUUAGCAUGAAAAAUUUCUGUUGAAGACACGUGUGUAUUUGUGUGUAUACAAACACACACACAUAUAUAUAUAUAUAUAUAUAUCUAUCUCAUUAAUUAAAGAAACGGAGUGAGUAAAUCAUUGAAUUUGAAAAACUGUAUUUUUUAUUUUAUGUUAUUUUUAUAAAUAUUCGACUAACAGUUGUAAUAUACCAAGAUGAAAAUAUUGAAAAGUUCUUGUUAUUUGAUUUAAUUGGUUUUGUAUGGAGCACUGGGAUGUUGAUUUAAGUAACAUUUCUGUUACAUUUGGGCCUUGUGAAAGUGAUGGAUGAGCUUUUCUUUGCCAUGUUUCUUCUUACACUUAUAUUAAAGCUGCUCUUGGGUUGACAUCAAA